rnacentral:rRNA from 1 species
UACAGAGGGUGCGAGCGUUAAUCGGAAUGACUGGGCGUAAAGGGCGCGUAGGUGGAUGUGUGUGUUGGAUGUGAAAGCCCCGGGCUCAACCUGGGAAUUGCAUACAAAACUGCACAUCUAGAGUAGAGCAGAGGUGAGUGGAAUUUCCGGAGUAGCGGUGAAAUGCGUAGAUACCGGAAGGAACACCAGUGGCGAAGGCGACUCACUGGGCUCAAACUGACACUGAGGCGCGAAAGCGUGGGGAGCAAACAGG